rnacentral:rRNA from 1 species
GACGAACGCUGGCGGCGUGCCUAAUACAUGCAAGUCGAACGAGAGCGACCGGUGCUUGCACUGGUCAAUCUAGUGGCGAACGGGUGAGUAACACGUGGGUAACCUGCCCAUCAGAGGGGGAUAACAUUCGGAAACGGAUGCUAAAACCGCAUAGGUCUUUAAACCGCAUGGUUUGAAGAGGAAAAGAGGCGCAAGCUUCUGCUGAUGGAUGGACCCGCGGUGCAUUAGCUAGUUGGUGAGGUAACGGCCCACCAAGGCCGUGAUGCAUAGCCGACCUGAGAGGGUGAUCGGCCACAUUGGGACUGAGACACGGCCCAAACUCCUACGGGAGGCAGCAGUAGGGAAUCUUCCGCAAUGGACGCAAGUCUGACGGAGCAACGCCGCGUGAGUGAAGAAGGUUUUCGGAUCGUAAAACUCUGUUGUUAGAGAAGAACAAGUGCUAGAGUAACUGUUAGCACCUUGACGGUAUCUAACCAGAAAGCCA